rnacentral:lncRNA from 12 species
GAAUUUCCCAAGCCAUGCCUCCUCUCUCAGGUGAGCACUCGGCUGUUAGGAACCCACUUGGGAUCCAACAGAGCUGGAUUCGAAUCCACACUCUACCACGUUACCCAUGGGACCAUAAGCAGAUGACUGAUGACUUGUGUAAGUUUCAGGCUCCUGUGAAAGAAGUCGGGGCUUUGCAGCAAGGGGGGGCAAAGGAAAUAAGGGUAUCCAAGCCCCUGGCACCACCCCAGCUCAGGGGUCUCCCUUCCUUCUGGCUGUUUCACCUUGGGAACACAGAAUCUCCUUAAAGAAAUGGAGCCCACGCUGAACCUCCCUUGGUGACGUGGCCAUGGCUUCUAAUGAGAGCAGUUCUAACACCAAUGCAUUUAUUAUCCUCAGACUCUAAGUAAAAGAGGAACUCCCACAGCAUGCUCGGGAGCCAGCCCUCACUGGCUCACAAGAAUGAACUGUCCAACUUUCCAGAACCUUGUGAGCUGCUCGUUAAAGUCAUACAACAUUCGGAAUUCACUUAUAUAAACUGACAACGUCACAUUAAAGACAAAGAUAAUAAAUAUUGAAAACUCAUCA